AAACGCCUGGUCCUGACCCAUCCAUACCUCUGUGCUGGAUGGGAAAGGAGAGAGGGAAAUCCCAAAACAAAUGGAAAAGCCACUUUGCCAGCCACAGAGCAUGCAUGGCCCUCCCUGGGCAGGUCUACUCCAGGUGAGACACGGUUUGAGCCAGGCUACAGCAGCCCCCAGAGCUAUCUAACCACAGGAGCUUGAAUGACACACCUACCUCUCAAGAUUAUAGAGUCUGCCUCAAAAGCCACCACUAUGCCAGCUUCCUGUGUGGGUCUAUAGACCCCUUGGGAGAUCUACAUGAUAGUGCCUGAACGGAGACUGAGCAUUAGAAUGCAUCUUAAUUUCAAGCACAUCAGCUCCACUGCCAAUAUGGAUUCAGUGAUCCAAAGUGUUUAAAUCCAAGUCUGGGGUGCAAGUUGAUGCUCUUAAGUGGCUGUUGUGGACCUGGGGUUCCUGUGACAGUAAACUUGGGCUUGAGAAAGGAUCCAAAGAGUGCCUGGGCCUCAAGAAGACACUACCAAGGAAUGAAUGGCCCUCACUGAACUCCUGUGACAUAAUAAGAUAUCUUCACCAUUGAAUAAGGGAUUUUCCUUGAAAAUAUUAUGCUAAUUGAAAGAAACCAAAUUGUAGAAGGUCACAUAUUAUAUGAUUUCAUUUAUAUGAAAUGUCCAGAAUAGGCAAAUCUAUAGAGACAGAAAGUAGAUUCAUUCUUAUCAGAGGCUGAGGGGUAAGGUGGGGAAAUGGCUUUGACUGCUAGUGGGUGUAAGGUUUCUUUUGUGGGGAGAUGAAAAUGUUCUAGAAUUUGAGAUUGGUGAUGGAUGCAUGAUUUUAUCAAUGUACUAAAAGCCAUUGACUUGCACACAUUAAAUUAGUAAAUGGUAUGGUACAUAAAUUACAACUCAAUAAAGCUGUUUAAAAAAAAUACGGCAUUCUGUCUACUAAAAUAAAACAAAAGAAAUAAGUAAAACCAGACUUUCACAGUCAACAAGUCUGUCAUCAGAUAAUGCUGAUUAAUAGUAAAACUGUAAUACACUCUCCCUCUGAAGUUGGAGUGGGCUCUGCUGAAAAUAGAAAUCUCAGGCAUAUGAAGAGGUUGGUGUCAGUCUGUUCUUCGUGGAAUACAUUUAAUGAGAAUCUUUUGCUUCUUUCUCUAAAGAAAGUAGAACUGAAAGAGGAGGGUGUCAGUUUCUUAGCAGCUUGCAAAGCCCAAAUCAAUAUAAAAAGAGCUUCCAUUUCUCAAGUAUCUUCUAGGUAUUCAGUGAAUACCCAGGGUUAAGGCUAUUUACAUGCAUACUUGCUAAUCCUCACCACAACGCUGCAAGGUAGAUAUUCCUAUCUCUGUUUCACUUAGGAGAGAAAUUAUGUUCCCAAAGUUGCAGAGCAAGUAAAUAGCAGAACCAAGAUUAGACCCAGAUCAGUCUAACUCCAAGGCCUUUGUCCUCAGUAUCUCUCAACCCUCAAUUAGAAGAGUUAUCACGGCCCUGGCUGAACCUGCCUAGGUUAUUUAACAAAUUUUUAGCAUUUUGAAGCCAUUCCAUUCAGUUACAGCAGCAGUUACUGUUCAGAAAUUUACAUUCCAAAAACUGAAAUCAACAAGGCAAUGCUGCUUGUCUCAGCAUUGUAGUUUUGAUGAUUCUUAGAGAUGUGUUAUGUUAUUUAAGACAUUUUUAGUGGCUCUCACUGCCAAAGACUAUGGAUCUCAUCAUUGCCUGUGCCCACAAGGACCCUCUGUUCCCUCUGACCUCAGGCCUCUUCCCAUCCAACAAGCCUCUCUGCACUUCUAUGUUCCCCUACUGGAACAAAGUCAGAACUGGAUCUGCUGACGCCACAUAUAGGUAUGGAAUCUGAGAUUGCUCUAUUGGGAUCAUCAUUCUAGACACUUCCCUCUGCCAUGGCAGGCUUUUGCUUCCAUGCCAGAUUGACAUGAUGCUAUACUGAGUGAGGACAACUCUGAGAGACCCACAGUCUUCCCAAGCUAGACCCAGGGAAGCAGUUUGGGGGUUCCCCAAAUAUAUUUGGCUGUUUGCAUGGACCCAGGGGGAUUUAACCUCAAGGGCAAAAUAAGAACUCUCAUCUCAGAAUCCCUGCCACCCUCUCUGUGCCCUACUCUUCAUGACUGGAAGAAGUUUUCUCUUCCCUUAGGGGUGGGAAUGCCAAGUCAUAUCCUGCUUCUCUCAAUACCGUGCCUCAGAGUAGAACCCUUUGCUCAGACCCCUCAGGUCUGCUCUGGAUAUAUAAAGGGAAUCUUUGGAAACAUACAAAACCCUUUCUCUCUCAAUAAAUCCUGGCUUUCAAGGUGAAUUCCUCUUCAUGGACCCAAAGAGUCUAAUUUCAAAUGGAAAGCUCAGGAAUGAUCUCUUGUUCUGGACCAGUUCUACCCAGGCUCUGAUCUCUGUGUGUGAACUGUUUGUUACUGUCUGCAACAAUAAAGUAUAGGAAUUGAGAAUAUUUGGAAACUUUUAUAGAAA
rnacentral:lncRNA from 10 species